rnacentral:misc_RNA from 1 species
AUAUGGGAUGCAAAUCAAGUA